rnacentral:rRNA from 1 species
CUCAGAGUGAACGCUGGCGGCAGGCCUAACACAUGCAAGUCGAACGGCAGCACAGUGGUAGCAAUACCAUGGGUGGCGAGUGGCGGACGGGUGAGGAAUACAUCGGAAUCUACCUUUUCGUGGGGGAUAACGUAGGGAAACUUACGCUAAUACCGCAUACGACCUUAGGGUGAAAGCGGAGGACCUUCGGGCUUCGCGCGGAUAGAUGAGCCGAUGUCGGAUUAGCUAGUUGGCGGGGUAAAGGCCCACCAAGGCGACGAUCCGUAGCUGGUCUGAGAGGAUGAUCAGCCACACUGGAACUGAGACACGGUCCAGACUCCUACGGGAGGCAGCAGUGGGGAAUAUUGGACAAUGGGCGCAAGCCUGAUCCAGCCAUGCCGCGUGGGUGAAGAAGGCCUUCGGGUUGUAAAGCCCUUUUGUUGGGAAAGAAAAGCAGUCGGUUAAUACCCGAUUG